GGUGUGGAUAGGGGAGAAAUUCCAAUCGAACCCGGAGAUAGCUGGUUCUCCUCGAAAUAGCUUUAGGGCUAGCCUCAUGGAUCAUUGAUGGGGGUAGAGCACUGAAUGUGCGCGGGGGCCACAAAGCCUACCAAACGCUAUCAAACUACGAAUACCAUACAAUGCAGACCAUGGGAGUCAGUCCGCGAGAGAUAAGUUCCGCGGGCAAAAGGGGAACACCCCAGAUCAACCGCUAAGGUCCCCAAGUUCACGUUAAGUGGAGAAGGAUGUGGAAUUGCACAGACAACCAGGAUGUUGGCUCAGAAGCAGCCACACAUUUAAAGAGUGCGUAAUAGCUCACUGGUCGAGUGAUUGUGCGCCGAAGAUGUCCGGGGCUAAACGUGACACCGAAGCGAUGGGUGCAUCUGAAAGGAUGCGCGGUAGAGGAGCAAUGUGCAGAGGCAGAAGCCGUAUCGAGAGGCACGGUGGACACUGCACAAGAGAGAAUGCCGGUAUGAGUAGCGAGAGGCAUGCGAGAAACAUGCCCGUCGAAAGCCCAAGGUUUCCUGGGGAAGGUUCAUCCGCCCAGGGUAAGUCGGGGCCUAAGCCGAGGACGGAAGUCGUAGGCGAUGGACAGCAGGUGUAGAUUCCUGCACUACCGAUGGAAUGAAGCAGUGACACAGAAGGAUAACUCGAGCAGGGUGAUGGUCAACCCUGUGCAAGCAUCAAGGUUGGGUUGUAGUGAAGUACGCAAUCCUAUAAGCUGAGGUGUGAUGCGGACCGAAAUUUCAGUAGGGAAGCGAGUGAGUUCACGCUGGCGAGAAAAGCUGCUAGUACAUCCAAAGGUACCCGUACCGGAAACCGACGCAGGUGGGCGAGGAGAGAAUCCUGAGACGAACGGGAGAACCCUUGUUAAGGAACUCGGCAAAAUGACCCCGUAACUUCGGGAUAAGGGGUGCCUGCGAGAGCAGGCCGCAGAGAAUAGUCACAAGCGACUGUUUAGCAAAAACACAGGUAUCUGCGAAAGCGAGAGCUGACGUAUAGGUGCUGACACCUGCCCGGUGCUGGAAGGUUAAGGGAACAUGUUAGAGCAAUCGAAGCAUCGAACCGAAGCCCCAGUAAACGGCGGCCGUAACUAUAACGGUCCUAAGGUAGCGAAAUUCCUUGUCGGGUAAGUUCCGACCCGCACGAAUGGUGUAACGACUUGUGAGCUGUCUCAACAGGGGGCCCGGUGAAAUUGAAGUAUGGGUGAAGAUGCCCAUUACCCGCGACUGGACGGAGAGACCCCGUAGAGCUUUACUGCAGCCUGAUAUUGAGUUUCGGUAACUGAUGCACAGGAUAGGUGGGAGUCUGAGAGACACGGGUUUCGGCUCGUGAGGAGACGCUGUUGGGAUACCACUCUUCGGUUACUGAAAUUCUAACAUAGCUCUGUGAAACCAGAGGAUGGACAGUGUCAGGUGGACAGUUUGACUGGGGCGGUCGCCUCCGAAAGAGUAACGGAGGCGCCCAAAGGUACCCUCAGAAUGGAUGGAAACCAUUCGAAGAGCGCAAAGGCAGAAGGGUGCCUGACUGCGAGAUUGACAAAUCGAGCAGAGACGAAAGUCGGGCUUAGUGAUCCGGCGGUAUUGAGUGGAAAAGCCGUCGCUUAACGGAUAAAAGCUACCUCGGGGAUAACAGGCUGAUCUCCCCCAAGAGUCCACAUCGACGGGGAGGUUUGGCACCUCGAUGUCGGCUCAUCGCAUCCUGGGGCUGUAUUCGGUCCCAAGGGUUUGGCUGUUCGCCAAUUAAAGCGGCACGCGAGCUGGGUUCAGAACGUCGUGAGACAGUUCGGUCCCUAUCCAUCGUGGGCGUAGGAGUCAUGAGAGGAGCUGUUCCUAGUACGAGAGGACCGGAAUGGACGCACCACUGGUGCAACUGUUGUCGUGCCAACGGCAUAGCAGGGAAGCGAAGUGCGGACGGGAUAAACGCUGAAGGCAUCUAAGCGUGAAGCCCACCUCAAGAAUAAGACUCCACAAUAGACCCCUGGAGGACUACCAGGUAGAUAGGUCAUCGGUGGAAGCGCUGUAAGGCGUGU
rnacentral:rRNA from 1 species